UCCAUGGUUUUCAUGAGAAGUCCCUAAGGUAAUUUCUAUUGAUGUACAUUUCAGUUCAUGUACUAUUUCCUUUGUAAUAUUUAUUUCCCUGUUAAGUCCAUCCAGUGAUUUUCAAAUUUCAAUAUUGUAUUUUUUCAGUUCUCACCUUUCCAUUUGGUUCUUCUUUAUAUGUUCUAUUUCUUUGCUGGAUUUUAAAAAAUGUAUCAUACACUUAUUUUACUUUGUUUUAUUUAGAAAAGUUCUAACAGUUAAUUAGAUUAACUGCUAUAGCACUGAAAUGUGAUGUGAUAGUAUUGUUAUCAUUAAAAUGUAAUCAUUAACUCAUCAUUUGGUAGUUCUAGCAUUGUGUUCAUUUAGGGAUUGAGCAAGGUUGAUUUUCUUUCGUCUUGAGAAUAUUUUCCAUUUUCUUGGUUCUUUAGACAUCAGGUAAUUUUGGAUUAUAUCCUAGACAUUAUGAGUAUAAAGUUGUGAAUAUUCAGGAUUCUAUUAUUUUUUUCCAACUAGUAUUGUUGUUUCUCUUCUUCCUCUUCCUCCUCCCCUUCUGAGCAGGCAUUUAAAAAAAAUCUGGACACAAAGAGAAAACCCAGAUUUUCGGGUGGUAGCUUUGCUUUCAGCUCAGAGUUACGUGAGUUGAAAUUCUGCUUUAGCUGAAAUUCUGCUUUGCUUUGUUCUAAAUAUUUACAGCCCAGUCCUCAGUCAGAGAUGUGGGUAGACACAAAUGGGGAAUCCCCCUUCUCUCUUUUCUUUCUGAGAUUUCAUUGCUGUUUUCAACAACCAUGUUUCACUUUGCUUCAGUUGUCUGGUUACCUAGGCAACAGAGACUAUAUUUUUUCAAUCAGCAUCUCACUGUACCAACUCUACUUUCCUAAGCUAAAAGCCAUAAAGAUGGGAACUUAUUUGUAAAUCACCCAGCUUUCUUCCUCUGAGUAUGUACUCAUGCCAGAAUCUGUCUGCUUUUUUUAACUUCUAGUACCUUUAUGGAAUUGCUUUUUGUAUUGCUUCCAGAUUUUAUAGUUAUUUUCUGCAGGAGAAAAAUCUGAUAAGUUCUUAGACUAUCAUUUCUGCAAGCUGACUGGCUGACUGGUCAUAGGUUUUUGACUGAUUCAUUUACAGUUCAUAUUAGAGAUUUUCAAUAUCAGCAAAGAUUAAUAUAAUUCAGAGCUCACUCAUUCAUUAAAUAUUUUUAUGCUCCCAUUAUGCUUCAGCUAUGCUGCUUGAAUUUCUGUGUACAGUUGUGAACAAUUUGACCCUGGUAUCUUCUCUGAUGAAAAUCAGAAGCUAGUGGAGAAGACAGAUAUUAAAAGCAAUUAAAGUAAAGUAUGAGGAAACAGUCCUUAUUGACUCCUGAGAGGAACCAACAUUCAUUCAAGCAAUGAGAUAUGAUGAAAUCCAGUUGACCAGGCAAAACAUAGAGCCUACUUGGGAUGGAGAAAUCAACAGAGAAUUUUUCCAUUAGAGCACACGACCCUUACUAGAAGCUUACUGAUGCCAACACCAUGCUUCUUGAACUUCCCAACCUGCAUAACGAUGAUCUAAAUAAACUUAUCUUUAUAAAUUACCCAGCCUUAGCUAUUAUUUUAUAACAA
rnacentral:lncRNA from 1 species